AGAGCGAACGCUGGCGGCAGGCUUAACACAUGCAAGUCGAGCGGGCGUAGCAAUACGUCAGCGGCAGACGGGUGAGUAACGCGUGGGAACAUACCUUUUGGUUCGGAACAACACAGGGAAACUUGUGCUAAUACCGGAUAAGCCCUUACGGGGAAAGAUUUAUCGCCGAAAGAUUGGCCCGCGUCUGAUUAGCUAGUUGGUGAGGUAACGGCUCACCAAGGCGACGAUCAGUAGCUGGUCUGAGAGGAUGAUCAGCCACAUUGGGACUGAGACACGGCCCAAACUCCUACGGGAGGCAGCAGUGGGGAAUAUUGGACAAUGGGCGCAAGCCUGAUCCAGCCAUGCCGCGUGAGUGAUGAAGGCCCUAGGGUUGUAAAGCCCUUUCGGCGGGGAAGAUAAUGACGGUACCCGCAGAAGAAGCCCCGGCUAACUUCGCGCCAGCAGCCGC
rnacentral:rRNA from 1 species